UGGUGCAUGGCUGUCGUCAGCUCGUGCUAUAAGGUGUUGGGUUAAGUCCCACAACGAGCGGAACCCUCAUGUUUAGUUGCCAUCGAACAGACUACCGGUGAUUAGCCAGAGGAAGGUGAGGAUUUCACUUGCCUUAUUCU
rnacentral:ncRNA from 2 species